rnacentral:tRNA from 1 species
GUUUUAAUAGUUUAAAUAAAACAUUGAUCUUGUAAAUCAAAAUUGAAAAAAUUCUUAAAACU